UCCCUGGUGGUCCAGUGGUUAGGACGUGGCAUUUUCACUGCCCUGGACCCAGGUUCAAACCCUGGUCAAGGAA